UACGUAGGUGGCAAGCGUUUGUCCGGAUUUAUUGGGUUUAAAGGGUGCGUAGGCGGCUUUGUAAGUCAGUGGUGAAAUACGGUAGCUCAACUAUCGAGGUGCCAUUGAUACUGCGGAGCUUGAGUACAGAUGAGGUAGGCGGAAUUGACGGUGUAGCGGUGAAAUGCUUAGAUAUCGUCAAGAACACCUAUAGCGAAGGCAGCUUACUAGGCUGUAACUGACGCUGAGGCACGAAAAGUGUGGGGAGCAAACAGG
rnacentral:rRNA from 1 species